GGCAGCCUUUCACGCUAGAAAAAUGUAUAAAUCUUGUUGGCAAAUUACCAUGUGAACGAAAAAGGAGAAUUCCAGAUGGUCAAUCGCAGUCGACGUUAAGAUAUAUUUUCUUCUGGACGUCUGUGUCUAAAGAAGUAGCGCGCUACGAGCAACUGAACACACAGACUUCUUUGCAUCGUUUUUCUUCUUUGUAAAAGACAACGCGAACYUCCACAGGACACAGCUAAAAAACAAGGGAAAUAGCAAAAAAACUUGUUUCGGUCUUUGAACGACUGCAGCUCAAAAAGAGAAAGAUAUCAAGAGUGUAGCGAUAUUCACACAAAGUGGUUGGUCG